CUGGCUCAGGAUGAACGCUAGCUACAGGCUUAACACAUGCAAGUCGAGGGGCAUCAGGAAGAAAGCUUGCUUUCUUUGCUGGCGACCGGCGCACGGGUGAGUAACACGUAUCCAACCUGCCCUUUACUCGGGGAUAGCCUUUCGAAAGAAAGAUUAAUACCCGAURGCAUAAUGAUUCCGCAUGGUUUCAUUAUUAAAGGAUUCCGGUAAAGGAUGGGGAUGCGUUCCAUUAGGUUGUUGGUGAGGUAACGGCUCACCAAGCCUUCGAUGGAUAGGGGUUCUGAGAGGAAGGUCCCCCACAUUGGAACUGAGACACGGUCCAAACUCCUACGGGAGGCAGCAGUGAGGAAUAUUGGUCAAUGGGCGCUAGCCUGAACCAGCCAAGUAGCGUGAAGGAUGAAGGCUCUAUGGGUCGUAAACUUCUUUUAUAUAAGAAUAAAGUGCAGUAUGUAUACUGUUUUGUAUGUAUUAUAUGAAUAAGGAUCGGCUAACUCCGUGCCAGCAGCCGCGGUAAUACSGAGGAUCCGAGCGUUAUCCGGAUUUAUUGGGUUUAAAGGGAGCGUAGGUGGACUGGUAAGUCAGUUGUGAAAGUUUGCGGCUCAACCGUAAAAUUGCAGUUGAUACUGUCAGUCUUGAGUACAGUAGAGGUGGGCGGAAUUCGUGGUGUAGCGGUGAAAUGCUUAGAUAUCACGAAGAACUCCGAUUGCGAAGGCAGCUCACUGGACUGCAACUGACACUGAUGCUCGAAAGUGUGGGUAUCAAACAGGAUUAGAUACCCUGGUAGUCCACACAGUAAACGAUGAAUACUCGCUGUUUGCGAUAUACAGUAAGCGGCCAAGCGAAAGCAUUAAGUAUUCCACCUGGGGAGUACGCCGGCAACGGUGAAACUCAAAGGAAUUGACGGGGGCCCGCACAAGCGGAAGGAACAUGUGGUUUAAUUCGAUGAUACGCGAGGAACCUUACCCGGGCUUAAAUUGCAGUGGAAUGAUGUGGAAACAUGUCAGUGAGCAAUCACCGCUGUGAAGGUGCUGCAUGGUUGUCGUCAGCUCGUGCCGUGAGGUGUCGGCUUAAGUGCCAUAACGAGCGCAACCCUUAUCUUUAGUUACUAACAGGUUAUGCUGAGGACUCUAGAGAGACUGCCGUCGUAAGAUGUGAGGAAGGUGGGGAUGACGUCAAAUCAGCACGGCCCUUACGUCCGGGGCUACACACGUGUUACAAUGGGGGGUACAGAAGGCAGCUAGCGGGUGACCGUAUGCUAAUCCCAAAAKCCUCUCUCAGUUCGGAUCGAAGUCUGCAACCCGACUUCGUGAAGCUGGAUUCGCUAGUAAUCGCGCAUCAGCCACGGCGCGGUGAAUACGUUCCCGGGCCUUGUACACACCGCCCGUCAAGCCAUGGGAGCCGGGGGUACCUGAAGUACGUAACCGCAAGGAUCGU
rnacentral:rRNA from 1 species